GGGAGGGUUGCUUUUUGAGGGGGAGAAUUCUCGUUUUGGGGGGAUAAAAGUUGUUUUGGGAAGCAGAAAGUUACUUUUUGGGGGAAAGUUGCUUUUUGGGCAGAGAAGUCGCCUUUUGUAGGAGAAAAGUUUUUUAGCGAGCUAAGUCACUUUUAGGGGAGGAAAGUUGGAUUUGGGGGAAGAAAGUAACUUUUCGGGUGGGGGGGAAGUUUCUUUUUGGGAAGGAAAAGUCGCGUUUUGGAGGAGAAAAGUUGCCUGGGGGGAAGAGAAGCCAUUUUGGAAGGAGAAAAGCCAAUUUUGGGGGGCAAAAGUUGCUUUUCUGUUACAAAAGAUACUUUAUUGGGAGAGAGGCGUUUCUUUUUUUAGCAAAAAAGUUACUUUUUGGGGGAAAGUUGCCUUUUGAGCAGAGAAGACACUUUUUGGAGGAGAAAAGUUGUUUAGGGAGCUAAAUCACUUUUAGGGGAGGAAAGUUGGAUGUGGGGGGAGAAAGUCACUUUUUUGGGGAGAAAAGUUACUUUUUAGGAAGGAAAUUUGCUUUUAGGAGGAGAAAAGUUGACUGUGGGGAAGAGAAGCGACUUUUGGUGAGAAAAAGCUGCUUUUUGGUUACAAAAAGCACUUUAUUGGGAGAUAGAAGUUUCAUUUUUAGACAAAAACUCACUUUGUGGGGGGAAGGCUACUUUUUGGGAAGGAAAAGUCACUUUUUGGAGGAGAAAAGUUGCCUUUGGGGAAGAAAAGCUGCUUUUGCGGGGAAAGGAGUCAGUUUUGGGGGACAAAAGGCACUUUAUUGGGAGAGAAAAGUUUCUUUUCACAGUUUCUUUUCUUUAGGGGAUAAAAGUAACUUUUGUGGGGGAGCUACUUUUAGAGGAAGACAAGUAACUUUUUGGAAACGAGAGUCACUUUGGGGGGAGAAAAGUUGCUUUUUGGAAACAGAAGUCCCUUUGGGGGGGAGAAAGUUGCUUUUUUGGGGGCGAGAAUAGUAACUUUUUUGAUGGGAAGUCACUUUCUGGGGACAAAAGUCAGUUUGGGUGGGGGGAGAAGCCACUCUUUUGGAGAGCAGCACCUUUUUUGAGAACUUGCUUUUUUACAAAGUUCUCCGAACUUUGGAGAGAGGUUUUUUUUAAAAAAAAAAAAUUUGGAGAAGUUUUGGAAAAGUAACUUUUCAGGCUGGGGAAGAGUCACUUUUCGGGGGAGAGAUGCCAUUCUUUGGAGAAGUGAUCACUUUUGAGCGGAGAAAUUGUUUUGUGUGACAAGCCACAUUUUGGCGGGGGGGUGAGGGCGUGCUUCAGGGGAAGAGAAAUUGCUUUCUUGAGGAGAGAAGUUGCUUUGUGGGGAGGGGGACCCUUUCCAGAAGUUGCUCUUUUAGGGGAAAUGUCGUGGCCCGACACCGGCCCCGUGGGGCUGCACCUGUCUCCUCUUCUGCAUGGGGCUCAGCGCCCCGUGGAGGGGUUUGAGCCCCCCAGGGCAGAGACGGGACCCCCACCCUCGGCUGAUAAAGCGCCCUUGGGUCAGCCCGCAGCCUGACGUCCGCCUGUUCCUUCUUCCAGGGUAGACAUGCAGGCAACAGCUCCUGCUGCAAGCAAAGCCCUCCUCCCCGCCGGACACCAAGAUGGAGCCAACGGGAUCUGCGGCACCCAGCGACCGGGGGGACGUCCCCGGGACUGCAGCCAGCCUUGCCCAAAGCGAAGGCAGCCGGCUGCGUGGACGGACAGACAGACAAACACCCAUCUCCAGCCCAAGAGGCGAUGGGAAGCACAUCCGAGUGCAAACCUGUUUUGUGCACGACCUGUGCGCCAGCUCUCGGUCCCCUGGGACGGACAGACGGACAGACAACAGUUCACCAGGGCUGGUUCAGUCUCCCAAACAGGGCGCAGCAGCGCGGCACGUCCCGGCCGAGCCCGGCAGCUCUUACGCCAGCUGCCGAAGCCGCCGAGGCCCCAGCGACCCGCUGCGCAGCACAGCGGCCACCGUGCACAGAUGCGGGUGCCUGCAGCCUGCUCCAACCUCCAUCUUCUCCAGCAAAGCCCCCUUCAGCUCUUCCCACGGAUCCAGGGUUUGGAAAAUCCCAGUUCCCCAAGCCACCGCUGUGCCGUGGGGAUGGACGCUGGCUCCGCCGCGAUGCACCGGGGCUCAGUACCAGGGGUCUGCCCGGUGCUGCUGGUUGUAGAGCUGCAGCUUGAUCUGGUCUUUGACCUGGUUGAUGAGGAUCUGAGCCAGCAGGAUGCCCACCAGCUGCAGGACAGGAAGGCAAGAGGAAGAGGAGGGCACUGAGGAGCAUCACCCCGCUGUCCUACGAGGGGGUCGCGCAGCUCCAGCUCUCCCCAACUUCCAGCCGGCAGAGCUUCGCCACUACCAAAUCCUCACGGAGGAGCCACCCAACAGCCUCAACCCCGUGGAGUUAAGCCGGACCCGUGAGCAGUGACACGUCCCUGUCCGUCCGUCCGUCGGUGGCGGUGUGUCGUGUCCCCUCCCCACCCUGUCACUGCCACGCACCUCCUUCUGCCCAAA